CCGAUGUAGCUCAGUUGGCCAGAGCACGUGAUUUGUAAUCUCGGGGUCGGGGGUUCGACUCCCUUCAUCGG
rnacentral:tRNA from 1 species